rnacentral:rRNA from 1 species
AAUAGAUACCCCGGUAGUCCACCCCGUAAACGUUGGGAACUAGUUGUGGGGUCCAUUCCACGGAUUCCGUGACGCAGCUAACGCAUUAAGUUCCCCGCCUGGGGAGUACGGCCGCAAGGCUAAAACUCAAAGGAAUUGACGGGGACCCGCACAAGCGGCGGAGCAUGCGGAUUAAUUCGAUGCAACGCGAAGAACCUUACCAAGGCUUGACAUAUACGAGAACGGGCCAGAAAUGGUCAACUCUUUGGACACUCGUAAACAGGUGGUGCAUGGUUGUCGUCAGCUCGUGUCGUGAGAUGUUGGGUUAAGUCCCGCAACGAGCGCAACCCUCGUUCUAUGUUGCCAGCACGUAAUGGUGGGAACUCAUGGGAUACUGCCGGGGUCAACUCGGAGGAAGGUGGGGAUGACGUCAAAUCGAUCAUGCCCCUUAUGUCUUGGGCUUCACGCAUGCUACAAUGGCCGGUACAAAGGGCUGCAAUACCGCGAGGUGGAGCGAAUCCCAAAAAGCCGGUCCCAGUUCGGAUUGAGGUCUGCAACUCGACCUCA